rnacentral:rRNA from 1 species
CCCUUAGAUGUUCUGGGCCGCACGCGCGCUACACUGAUGCAUUCAACAAGCCUAGCCUUGACCGAGAGGUCCGGGUAAUCUUUGAAACUGCAUCGUGAUGGGGCUAGAUUAUUGCAAUUAUUAAUCUUCAACGAGGAAUGCCUAGUAAGCGUGAUUCAUCAAAUCGCGUUGAUUACGUCCCUGCCCUUUGUACAUACCGCCCGUCGCUGCUACCGAUUGGUUGAUCUGGUGAAUUAUUCGGACUGCCGGCUGAAGGGGUUUCCUCAUCUGCCAGCGGAAAGUCUUGUUAACCCUAUCAACUAGAGGAAGCAGAAGUCGUAACA